AAUGGCAUUCUUCAGGGAUGUGUUCUGGGUCCUACACUGUUCAGUGCUUGCAUGGACUUCUUGUUGGGUCAGGUUGUAGAAACCAGCAACUUAGGUGCUUUUGUUGGUGAGGAAAGUUGGUUGACCUUGACUUUGGGGACAGUGCUCUGAUCUUAGUGGAAUCAAUGGACACCCUGACUGUAGUGCUUGAGAAGCUGAGUUGAGGAAUCAGACUGUCUGGGUUUGUACUUUGUACUGCUGGGGG